rnacentral:rRNA from 1 species
ACGGAAGGCAGCAGUAGAGAAUAUUGCACAAUGGGCGCAAGCCUGAUGCAGCGAUGCCGCGUGAGGGAAGAAGGUUUUCGGAUUGUAAACCUCUGUCAACAGGGACGAAAAUGACGGUACCUGUGAAGGAAGCUCCGGCUAACUACGUGCCAGCAGCCGCGGUAAUACGUAAGGAGCAAGCGUUAUCCGGAAUUACUGGGUGUAAAGGGAGUGUAGGCGGGACUGUAAGUCAGAUGUGAAAUAUGCCGGCUCAACUGGCAGACUGCAUUUGAAACUGCGGUUCUUGAGUGAAGUAGAGGUAAGCGGAAUUCCUAGUGUAGCGGUGAAAUGCGUAGAUAUUAGGAGGAACAUCAGUGGCGAAGGCGGCUUACUGGGCUUUAACUGACGCUGAGGCUCGAAAGCGUGGGGAGCAAACAGGAUUAGAUACCCUGGUA